AACGCUAGCUACAGGCUUAACACAUGCAAGUCGAGGGGCAGCGGGAUUGAAGCUUGCUUCAAUUGCCGGCGACCGGCGCACGGGUGAGUAACGCGUAUCCAACCUUCCGUACACUCAGGGAUAGCCUUUCGAAAGAAAGAUUAAUACCUGAUGGUAUGAUGAGAUUGCAUGGUAUCAUCAUUAAAGAUUUAUCGGUGUACGAUGGGGAUGCGUUCCAUUAGGUAGUAGGCGGGGUAACGGCCCACCUAGCCGACGAUGGAUAGGGGUUCUGAGAGGAAGGUCCCCCACAUUGGAACUGAGACACGGUCCAAACUCCUACGGGAGGCAGCAGUGAGGAAUAUUGGUCAAUGGGCGAGAGCCUGAACCAGCCAAGUAGCGUGAAGGAUGAAGGUCCUACGGAUUGUAAACUUCUUUUAUACGGGAAUAAAGUAUCCUACGUGUAGGAUUUUGUAUGUACCGUAUGAAUAAGCAUCGGCUAACUCCGUGCCAGCAGCCGCGGUAAUACGGAGGAUGCGAGCGUUAUCCGGAUUUAUUGGGUUUAAAGGGAGCGCAGACGGGAGAUUAAGUCAGUUGUGAAAGUUUGCGGCUCAACCGUAAAAUUGCAGUUGAUACUGGUUUCCUUGAGUGCAGUUGAGGCAGGCGGAAUUCGUGGUGUAGCGGUGAAAUGCUUAGAUAUCACGAAGAACUCCGAUUG
rnacentral:rRNA from 1 species